AAGCACUUGUUGCUCGUAGGAUCGGUUACGGAUGGACCUACAUCCGGUUGAUGGAAAUCGACUUUGGACCGUUUUGGAUGUACUUCUCAAAACGAGGACCAAAAUGAACGCAACAAUGUUUUAUGGGAAGCGAGUUGGUGGAUUUCACAGAACAGUUCCACCAGACGAGACUAUGGACAGCUGUGAUGAAGAAUAUGAUAUACCUAAACCAGCUGUAGUCAGUGAAUGCAGCACCAUAUGGACGGAUGGAGAUGAGUUGCAUUGACCUGAACAUCACAUGGACUAUUAUAGGAAUGACGCUUCCAGUGUUAUAAUAGAUGUUUUGCUGCUUCUGGAUGAGAUCAUGGAAAUGGAGAAACAUUGUACAGAACUGAUAACAACACUUUGUCUGCGCUGACUCUGCGAGAUUUCCUGCCUCAGUGGAAUGAAAUCCUGGAAGUGGAGAACCAUCAUUCAGAGCAGCCAAAACUGCUGGGUUUUUGACGGCGGCCCUUCUUUGACUCAAGUCAUGUUAUUUCUUACUCCAUGUGGGUAAGAAAUAACAUUUCUUGUGUCAGGUUGUGUGGGGGUUUAAAUCCCCUUUCUCUCAACAAAUGGGGGGUGCACAUCAUCCACUGUUUCCUGCCUUUUCAAUAAAAUUUUUUGAAAGAGGCCCUGGUUUUCUUCUGUCUUGAUUUACUGAACCUUGGAUUUGAACUUCCAACCAGCCUCACAGUAGUCAUUUCACUUUGUAUCACCAGCCUUCUCACUGAGCUAUCUGUGAGCUACUAAUGUAGUGCUGGAACUUCUAUUUAUUGAGUUUGUUUUGGACCUGAAAACAGAAAUAUUGUUCAUGUGGGUUUUGAACCUGCAAUCUCUGGUUUUGGAACUU